GACAUAGGUGGCGAACGUUAUCCGGAAUUACUGGGCGUAAAGUGUGCGUAGGUGGUUUAAUUAGUUUAUCGGUGGGAAAUUGGGGCUCAACCCCAUGGAAGUCGAUAAUACUAUUAACUAGAGGAUCGGAGAGGUUAACGGAAUUCUAUGUGUAGCGGUAAAAUGCUCAAAUAUAUAGAGGAACACCAAAUUGGCGAAGGCAAGUUAAUCUAUUCGACUCCUGACGUUGAGGCACGAAAGCGUGGGGAAGCAAGAC
rnacentral:rRNA from 1 species